CGCACAUUGCGCCCUUUGGCAUUCCGAAGGGCAUGCCCGUUCGAGCGUCAUUUCACCAAUCAAGCCCAGCUUGGUAUUGGGUCCCCGGGGGCGACCCGGACCUCAAUGUCUUUCGGCUGGAACACCUCACACUCAGCGUUGUGAAUCAAAUUCGCUCCGUGGAAGGGUGGUCCAUCGCCGUUAAACACCUCAAUUUAUCACAGGUUGACCUCGGAUCGGGUAGGGAUACCCGCUGAACUUAA
rnacentral:misc_RNA from 1 species